AAAAGAAAGUCUAGUUUCCUUCAUAAUCUACUGGAAACGAUGUUUUUUCACUGAAUUGUGAAUAUUCUGAAAAAACUAGGCGAGGCCAGGAUUGGUAGUCCACAGGCAUCCUCAGCUGUGUUCCUGCUUUGCCCGUGUGGGGCCAAGAAGAGCCAUCACAGAGUGCCCAGCUCUAGGGGACUGGGGGAGGGCGGCAGCUGGCCUCUCAGGCCUGGGCAGAAGGAAAUGUCCCAGAGGAGCGUGCUGGUUGUCAACGUAAAUAAUCCAUAAUCAAUCUAUAAAUCAAAAUUGAGGUGAGUUUAUUAUGAGCAGACUUUUGAGAACCAUAGCCCAGGGCCUGCCUUCCCCAAGGAAGGAAGGGCACCAAAGAAAUGGGGUGUACAGAGCGGUUAUAUACUGUCAAAGAGCAUGUAUCACGUAGGAUUGCAAUGUUCCUUUUACAAUAGCCACGAGAUCGCCCUGCCAGAUUGCCCUGCCAGAGUAGCUAUUGAUGGACACAGCGGGGAGCAGGUCUGCUGUCUCAAUGGCUGUGGCUGGUAUCAGGUCUGUUGUCUGGAGCUGGGUGGUCACAGGAUGAGCGCAGCAAUCAAAUCCUAGCCUAGGGAGAAAUGCUUAUCCUUAAGGAAAUGCCACUGUGAGGGAAGUUGCAUCCUUAUCUUAAGGGCAUUUACUCUUCUCUUUGGGACAUAACAAAGCAGAUACACAAUGCAUGUUUGAAGGUAACAGGCCCUGUUGGAAAAACAAACUCAGGCUAUAUUAGUUUUACCCCAAAUGGCUUCCUCAUAUGCUCCAAUGCUUGCCAUUUAUUUAUCAUGGUCAAUGCGCCAGCAUCGGGGGAGCCAUGGCCCGCAGGCUGACGUCUGACUUCCUGGCCUGGCGUGUGGCGUGCAAAGCUUUGGCAGCCUCAUCUUCUGCAAUUCUUCCCUCCUCUUUCUCCUCUGUCUCCUUCACCCUUCCAAUCCCUUUGCAUGAAUGACUAGUCCCUCGUAUGCUCUUGCCUCUGCCCGAAAUACCCUGUUCCACUUUCUGACCACCCCAGACAGCAUCAGUCCUUCCCCCUUCGGUAUUCCUGUUGCCUUCUCAGUUAACAAAUAUUUGCCAUGGGUCAUUUUGUGCUGGGUAGUAUUCUUGCUUAAGGUUGACAUUAUUAAGAGAAAUCUCAAGCCUUAGGGGCUAACAAGCAAUUGAGGAGAUAAACACGAAAAUGAAGACUUUGUCAUACAGCUGAGGAAUACAGGGAUCCAUAUGGAUUGUCCUGCCGGAGGGAGUCCAAGCGGGCUGGGCAGGACUUCUCCUGCCCAGGACUUCCGAUGGGUCUUCCUAACAGAAUAAAAUUUUCCAGGUUAACAGAAGGGGAAGAGCUCUUCAAUGAGAAGGGACCAUGUCUGUAAAGGCAUGGAGAUAGGGAACAGCAAGGAUGCCCCCCAUGUACGUUUCCUAGGGCUAUGGUAACAAAUCACCACAAACUAGAUGGCUUAAAACAACAGAAAUUUGUUCUCUCACAUUUCUGGAGGCCAGAAGUGCAAAAUUAAGAUGUCAGCAGAGUUGGUUCCUUCUUGAUGCUCAGAGGGAGAAUCCGUUCCAUGCCUCUUUCCUAGAUUCUGGUGGCUUUAGCAGUGCUUGGCAUUUUUGGCUUGUAGACGCAUGACUCCAAUCUCUGCCUCAUCGUCUCCUCUGUGUCUCUGUGUGUCUUGGCUUUAGGGCCCACCCUAAAUCCAGGAGGAUCUCAUCCCAAGAUCCUUAAUUAUAUCUGCAAAGACCCUACUUCCAAAUGUAUUCACAUUCACGGGUACUGGGGAUUAAGACUUUGGUAUAUCUUUUUGGGGAACACUAUCCAACCCACUACACACCCCAAGAACUGUAAGGAGAAUUGCUUCUACCAAGUUGCACUUUGUUUUUAUUCCCUGAGCUUUUAUUGGCUGAUGUAGUAUUUCAUCUAUUUUUCUCUCUCUGAAUUUCCAUUCUGAUUUAUACUUUCCUCAAGACAAUUUUAAUUAUUCAUAAUUUCUCAUCUUGCAUAUAUCCUUAUACCUCAAUUCUUUUGUGCAAUAUGUGUUGGGCAAAUAAACGUAUGAACUGAAAAGCAUCUGUCAGAUUUGGGGGCAUGGAGCUCCUUGGAGACCUUUACCAAAGGAGUUCCAGGAUAGUGGUGAGCCAGGAAGGCAGACUACAGCGCCAUGAGGAGGAAAGGGGCUGCUGGGAAGAGGAGAGAACUAGGUCUCUUUCUGAACAGGAAAGAGGAAGGAAAGUGUGUCUCUUUUUAAGCCCUUGGCUAUGAAAGGUUGACAGGACAGAGAACUCUGGCUGGAGUCGGGUUGCCGUCGACGAGAAGGUGCUGAAAGGGAAGAGGAUGUUAGAGCACUGAAGAAAACCCAACUGAUGGCAUUCUUGAGGAGGUGGGAAGGAUGGACCCAGAGGGAUGCGCGAAAGGACGUGAAGGUAGACCACAGUCAAGCCGAACACCUGUGGGGUAUAUUGUACCAAAUACUGAUGCAGCUGGGGGUGCAGACUUUGGCUUGGUGCCAGAAGCCCUUCCUGACUGGAAUUUCCAACCGUGAGACUGGCCACUGGGACACAGUGGACUCGUGGUCCCUGGAGGCACCCUCUGCUCAGAUGACAGCUGUUUGCAAGAAGCUCUGGGCAUAGCCGUGAGCUGGGCUGUGGCAUGGGGGCCAGAGGGAGAAGAGGCCUCCCUCCCAGCCAGGAGCCCUUUUAGCCCAGUGAACUGAGCACCUCUGAAGUAACACCUCCCCACAGAGUCAUCAGGAGCAGCCAGGGAGCAGACCUGGACAGGGAGGAAGCUGGGAAGGAAAGAAGUGGGGAGCAGUGGCAGAUCCAGAGGCGGAAGAAGAGACCUGAAAGACUCGAGUUCCCAGAUCAUCCAGGGCCAACACAAGUCCCAACUCCUGCUGUAAAAUAUUGUUUCAGGGUUCCCUCAACAAAGAAACUGUCAAGACCUGAAAGUUGUCAUUCUACAACUUGGGGGACCUUCAGAAGUUAUCAAGCCUAUAACCCUCUAUGGUACAUGUGGGGAAACUGAGACCCUGAGAGAGCCUCAUAUCCCAUAGUGAGAUAGGGGCAGAGCCAGGCGUGGCGCCCAGGCCCCUGCCUCCCGGUGUGGGACUGUCUCCGCCAGCAGGGAAUGGGGCACGGGGGCAGGGUUUGGAGGAGGGUGAAGCUGGGGACGUCAGUGGCUAGGGGUUGAGCUUUUCCAAGCCCUGGAGGCUGUGAGACAGAAACCCCCAGAAGAAAGCUGGGGUGUCUCUGUGACAACAGACUCCUGGGGUGCUGUGGAGAAACCCGUGUGGUUGUGAUGGAGAAAGAAGGGCUGUGAAAGUGAAAUUUGCAAUUUGUGAGGGGGAAACUGAGAAUUUGUUCUCCGUCCCAUGCAAAUGACCUGCGGCCUUCUGUCCUGCACCUGCAGCGGCUCACAACACACACAACUCGGGGAUCGGACGGGCCUGGUUCCCACGGUCUGCACUCAGGGGACCAGGAGCAGGGAAGGCCUCCCUCAGUCUGGAAGGGAUGUGCUGGGACGCCCUAGCUCCAUCUGUAGGGUGUCUGCUGGGCUGAGAGCGGGCCUCCUUUGUACCUGGCUGAGGUGACCCCGUUAGGGAUGACCCUCUGAGGGACAGCACUGGAUUUCCUGUCCUCUCCUCUCCUGCCACUCCCCCUCUUAUUCCCCACCCCAGGCACCCCCACAUUUGCACUGCUGUGAGAAUCUGCUCAUCCUGUGUCUCCUGUGGGAAAUGCCCUCCUUCCUUUGCUUCCCCCCAACCCUGUCAGCCUGGUCAGAAUUUCCCCGGGGAAACCUUCCCUUCUGCUCCAGGCCCCAUCUGUGUCUCUCUCAGCUGUGCCUCCCAAGCUCCGUGUACUUCCUCAUCCUAGCCUGGAUCUGCUGGUUUCCAAUUGUCUGUUUACACUCUUAGCCUCCCGCAGUAGACUGGGAGCCCCUCAAGGGCAGGUACGGUGUUGGGUUCAUCUUUGUAUCCCAAAAGCCAGGUGCUUUGUUUUGACCCACUAGAGGCCAGGAAGCAAACACCUGGCAUGCAUGCUGCUACUGUCCCAGUCAGAGCCCAGGGCAGACGUUGCUAAUCAGUCAUGAUUACUUUUUCCUUGGGGCUCAGAAGGCUUCCCUCCUCAACACAGGGUUCCAGGUAGGCACUGCCUGGCAACCAAGAUUGACCCUCCUGAUGAGACUGGUGACCAUCCCUGGGGGUGCUCAAUACAUGUGUGACUCAGACUUCAGCUGGGGGCCACUGGCCCCUCACAGAUUUGGCUCCGACCCUGUGGUCUGUGCCUUCCGUGAGAAAUGCCAGGCUGACUUCCUCACGCUGCCGCGGACUCACUCCUGAGACAGUCCAGGCGAGAAGCACAGAACCUUUCUCAGUCCACACACACACACACACACACA